ACAGCCAUAUAACGUGGAAACACCGGUUCACGUACGAUCACUGAAGUUAAGCAAUGGUGAACCUGGUGAGUAUCUGGAUAGGUGACUACUUGGGAAUGCCAGAUGAUGUA